rnacentral:rRNA from 1 species
AAUGACGGGUAACGGGGAAUUAGGGUUCGAUUCCGGAGAGGGAGCCUGAGAAACGGCUACCACAUCUAAGGAAGGCAGCAGGCGCGCAAAUUACCCAAUCCUAAUACAGGGAGGUAGUGACAAGAAAUAACAAUACAGGACUUUUUGGUUUUGUAAUUGGAAUGAGUUAAGUAUAAACCCCUUUACAAGUAUCAAUUGGAGGGCAAGUCUGGUGCCAGCAGCCGCGGUAAUUCCAGCUCCAAUAGCGUAUAUUAAAGUUGUUGCAGUUAAAAAGCUCGUAGUUGGAUUUCUGUUAAUAAUUUAUAUAAAAUAUUUUGAUGAAUAUUUAUAUAAUAUUAACAUAAUUCAUAUUACUAUAUAUUUUAGUAUAUGAAAUUUUACUUUGAGAAAAUUAGAGUGCUU